UACGUAGGGACCAAGCGUUGUUCGGAUUUACUGGGCGUAAAGGGCGCGUAGGCGGCGUGUUAAGUCAGCUGUGAAAUCUCCGAGCUUAACUCGGAACGGUCAGCUGAUACUGAUGUGCUAGAGUGCAGAAGGGGCAAUCGGAAUUCUUGGUGUAGCGGUGAAAUGCGUAGAUAUCAAGAGGAACACCUGAGGUGAAGACGGGUUGCUGGGCUGACCUUGACGCUGAGGCGCGAAGGCGUGGGGAGCGAACGGG
rnacentral:rRNA from 1 species